UAAUACAAUUUCCAUUCAAUAAACACCGGUUGUGAACAUCCGCUCCGAGGUUCAGUGAGUACCUAUUUUACUAUAUUAUUCCUUAACCCUGUCAAAUUGGUUCCCUUAGUCUCUUGCGAGUUGUUGAGUCAACUAGCUGUUGGAACGACAAUUAAACUAGUAUGUUGACGUAUUGCAGGAUUCUAAAGGAUUCGCUACCGAAACAACUAGGUAUAAUUACUAUACCCAACAGCUGAGCAUUUUAACGAGUUAUAAAGUUAAUAAUUAAGAGUCAUUUUUGG